GGCUCGGUGGUGUAAUGGUAGUAGCACGUGUCCCCGAUAUAGACGAAACGCGGGUUCGAUUCCUGCCUCAAGCCG